rnacentral:rRNA from 1 species
GACAGAGGGGGCAAGCGUUGCUCGGAAUCACUGGGCGUAAAGGGCGCGUAGGCGGGAUGGCAAGUCGGUCGUGAAAUCCUUCGGCUCAACCGAAGAACGUCGGCCGAUACUGCUGUUCUUGAGGGAUGCAGAGGAGAUUGGAAUUCCAGGUGGAGCGGUGAAAUGCGUAGAGAUCUGGAAGAACACCAAAGGCGAAGGCAGCGUCCUGGCAAGCAACUGACGCCCAUGUGCGAAAGCUAGGGGAGCGAACGGG